rnacentral:lncRNA from 1 species
UGCCCCUCUUAAUUAGACACCCCUGUGAGGACAGUGGGAACUACUAGGGAAUCAACCUCCUAGUCUUGCAGCUGUAAGCAGUCUGCCUGCCCUUCUUAGCUGACUGGCUUAAACACCAAGCACUUGGUGUAAAUUAUGUUACUGGGCCCCUUCAGGGCUGGCUAAAUGGAGACACUGGUGCUUGGCUGCAGCCUUGGAGUAAGGAGAUAAGAUGUACAAAUCUGGUGAGAGAAGUUGGUGUUUGAGUCAAGCUAUAGAGAUUGAAGAGCUGCAUGCAAAUAUGAUUUCUUUAUUUUUUUUCCAUUAUUAUAAAUGAAGAGAAGAAAAAGGAAUUAUCUAAAGAUGAAGCAAAAAAUCCACUUGAAUCAAAGGGCAAUGCUCAGUCCUGCUGAUAUAUGCUGUGGACCAGCCAGCUGGAAUAGAACUCUACAGGAAGGCAGUUGGGGUACUGGUGUGCAACAGGCUAACCACAAGCCAACAAUGCACUCUCACUGCAAAGAAGGCCCACAGCAUCCAGGACUGCAUUACAAAAAGCACUGCUGGCAGGCCAAGGAAGUUGACCCUCCCUAUACUUGGCACUGGUGA